UACGUAGGUGGCAAGCGUUGUCCGGAUUUACUGGGCGUAAAGAGCGCGCAGGCGGUCGUUCAAGUCGCGUGUGAAAGCCCCCGGCUCAACUGGGGAGGGUCACGCGAUACUGAUCGACUCGAAGGCAGGAGAGGGAAGUGGAAUUCCCGGUGUAGUGGUGAAAUGCGUAGAUAUCGGGAGGAACACCAGUGGCGAAGGCGGGUCUCUGGGCCGAAACUGACGCUGAGGAGCGAAAGCGUGGGGAGCAAACAGG
rnacentral:rRNA from 1 species